UACGGGGGGAGCAAGCGUUGUUCGGAUUUAUUGGGCGUAAAGAGCUCGUAGGCGGCUUGUCGCGUCGUCUGUGAAAUCCCGUGGCUCAACUGCGGGCUGCAGUCGAUACGGGCAGGCUGGAGUUCGGUGAGGGAGACUGGAAUUCCUGGUGUAGCGGUGGAAAUGCGCAGAUAUCAGGAGGAACACCGGUGGCGAAGGCGGGUCUCUGGGCCGAUACUGACGCUGAGGAGCGAAAGCGUGGGGAGCGAACAGG
rnacentral:rRNA from 1 species